AAACAAUGGUGGAGCUAUAAUCGCUUGUUACAUUACUUUUCUGUUCGAUGUCUGGAGAAGAGGUUAUGAUCUCAGAUUAAACAGAGAAAUAAUUAUGGAAGAAGUUUUGGAUAACAAUUUUGAUGAAAUAUAUCCAGAUAUUGAGAGCACCAUAAAAAAUGCAACCUUUAUAUCGAUCGACGCAGAAUUUACAGGAAUACAGUCAAAUGAUCAGAUAAAGUACAGUCUUUUCGAUACGAUCGAUGACCGAUACAAGCUAUUAAAAAAAAACAUUGAUCCGUUCAUAAUAAUUCAAUGUGGUGUUGCUGCAUUUCAGCAUUUUCCUCAACAAAAUACUUAUAGGACAAAAUGCUAUAAUUUUUACUUGCUACCACGACCCUUACCAUUUAAAAAUAGGACAUUUUUAUUGCAAGUGGCUGCCUUAGAGUUCCUUUCUAUACAUAACUUUGAUUUCAACAAAAGUAUGCACAAUGGUAUAUCGUAUGUAGACCAAAUAGAUGAACAAUUACUGAGAGAAUAUGUAGAAGAAGGUAAAUUCAUGAGUAAUUUAGAACAUUUAUCGUAUCAUGAAGAAGACGUAUUCAAGGAGUGUAAAGAUAAAGUAGAAGAAUGGCUUGUUACUCCAACGAACGAAAUCACCUAUGAAUUGGCAACUGUAACUCCUAUCUUACAAUAUAUGGUGCACAAAGAGUUAAGAACACAUUUCAAAAAUAUUUGGACGAUAUCUGGUAACAAAUCGGUGAUUGUUAUAAGGGUGUCAGAAGACAUGCGCAGAGUUUAUGAAGAAAAAAGAAAUGUCGAUCUAGAUAAAGCACUAUUGGAUACUUAUAUAGGAUUUUCUAAAAUAUUUAAGCUUUUAACUUCCUCAAAAAAACCUAUAAUAGGGCAUAAUAUACUUCUAGAUUUAAUGCUGAUGCAUCAACAGUUCUACAAGCCAUUACCAAAAUAUUACAGUGAAUUUAAAACUAAUAUACAUUCUUUAUUUCCACAACUGUAUGAUACAAAAUUUUUGAGCUCCGAGUUCAAGAAACGGAUCAGCGGAGAUGUAAAUUGGAAAAUAUCUUCGCUUCGUGCAAUAUAUGAAUAUUUGAAGUUGAACAAAGGGAAAAGUUUAGCAUUGAAUUCGCCACAUAUUAAAAUGCAUAAUAUAUCGGAAGAUAAAGAAGCUUAUCAUACUGCGGGUUGGGAUGCUUAUUUAGCCGGAUAUAUUUUUAUAAAAAUGGGGUAUCUAUUAACUAUACAAAAAUAUGGAGAGGGUUUAGCACUUCGCCCGGUGACUCAUACUGAAAUAAUGAGCAGUGUAAAACAGUUUGCAAAUUUAAUAAAUCUAACAAGGGGUAAUGAAUUAUAUUUGAAACUUGAUGGACAUGACCCAGUAUAUACAAGACCAGAAUUUCUUCAUGUUAAAUUAAACACCUCGCCUACAAGUAUGAAAGAGAUUGCUGAAAAGUUUUCACCUUUUGGGCCGAUAGAUGUGAUGCCUUUUGCUCGAAAACGCGUACUGGUAGCUGUUUCAAAUGAAAAAAGUGUGCUCAACAUAUUGGCCCAUUUCCAGAACAACCAGGAAAUGCAGGUGGCUGUAUACAACCCUAUAAAGCACGCUCAUCCAAGAAAAAUUGUUUUAUGGAGCAGCUUGAUCUUGUCGAGCGGGGUACUCGCCUGGAUGAUUCAACGCGUGUUUAAGAAAUCCGUAACAUUCGACUAAUCCCUUAGCGUUCUCGCAGUAUUUCUAUUUUGUGACGUAAUACCAAAAACUUCGGAGACUUCAAGACUGAUCCAAAUCCUGCGCUUUUCGGUCAGAGGAAGUCCGGAAGGUGAAAUAAAAUCACCGAUUCGCCGCGAUGGGAAUUCGAGGUGACAAAUGAAAACAAACUUCGAUUCGGUUUCCAGACUACUGGCGUAUUUUCUCCCUGACAGCGUCCCUCCGCGUCGCGCCGGUCCGCGGGAUCUAUUUAAAUUUUCGAUCGAGAAAUCAUGAGUGGAAUCUUUGCGUGAGCUGUUAUUAUUAUUUCACGUUCGAGCCGAACGCUCGGUGUCGGGCCAGAGCUCGUUUUCGCCAAGGAAGUGUUUCCUGCCGUUGCCAAGCUCGUACUCUCUUUGAAAAAUACAAUUAUCCCUGCCGCCGAGAUGCGUCGAUCGCCACGCAUGUCCAGCUAUCGUACCUUUUUUCCCCCGUCGACACGUAUAUUGCCUUUCGUCCGACGCGUCACGCUCGGUACCGUGCCAAAUAACACGAGACCACCGUGACGUCACAAUCGACGAAAAUUCCUCGGAGACUUUCUUGCCGGGAAAAGCUGCGCACCGAAAGAUAUAAUGCUCGAUGGAGCUCUUCAAGGUCCCCUUACAACUGUCGCGGCUGCUAGCAUUGCACCUUUGCGCACCGUAAAGUGCACUCGUGCAGCGGCAUCGCGUUGUCGAUCAAGAGACACGUGGACCUCUGGAGAGGGCGGGGGUUUGGGAGAUCAAAGGUGGCCUCGCGUAAAAAUAUUUCAACCAGGAGAUACAAAUAUUUGCUAAUAUUAUUCUGUAACAAACAAGAGUAUUUCGUUAACUGUUUCCAAUACUUUGUUAAAGAUUUUUACACGGGUCCGGUGGCCACAAGUGAAAAUCGAGAAAGAGGGGACGUUGCACGUGACUAGACCGUGGUUCUCAAUCUCGUUCCAUUCAUUUAACCAUCUCAUUCAUUGAGAAAUGUUUAAUUUGUUGGUAGUUUUCUAUAAAUUUAGAGUUAUUAUUUGUGCAGAAAAUCACAUUGAAUGUGCAAUAUAAGGUCAGACAUAAAAGUUGAAA